UACGAAGGGGGCUAGCGUUGUUCGGAAUUACUGGGCGUAAAGGGCGCGUAGGCGGCGUGUCAAGUCAGGCGUGAAAGCCCCGGGCUCAACCUGGGAACCGCGCUUGAGACUGGCAUGCUCGAGUUCGGGAGAGGAUGGUGGAAUUCCCAGUGUAGAGGUGAAAUUCGUAGAUAUUGGGAAGAACACCGAUGGCGAAGGCGGCGACCUGGUCCGAUACUGACGCUGAGGCGCGAAAGCGUGGGGAGCAAACAGG
rnacentral:rRNA from 1 species